GGCCCGGGGCUUUAGUCCUCAAACUUGGUUCAUAAUAAGCUCAUUCCAAUUUUGAUUUAUAGAAGGACUAUGGGUUAUCUGGAUCAACACCAUCCUGAGCUAAGGAAUGAGGUACGGGCCGGGGCUUCCACCGGGAGGAGGGCAACUCACAGGAAGGUGAGAAGAGCAGACAUCUGGUGAUCAGGUAUUUGUCCUCUAUGCAGAAAACCAAGGUCAGAAAUACAUAGAAUUGAAGUCGAGAAAAUGCUUUUGUUAUAAGCACCCCCAAGGAUGUGGUGUUCCUGUCACCUGUGCUUGGCACCCUUCCUCAUCCAAGUGCCACCACCUCAGAGGCUUUCCAAGGCUGUGUCCUUCUGCCUGCAGCAAAUGAGCACCCCGACUCUUAGGUUUUGGAAAUUGUUCUGGACUGAACUGUGUCCCUCCAAAAUUCACAUGUUGAAAUACCUCAGAAAGUGACUGUAUUUGGAGACGUGGCCCUUAAAGAGGUGGGUCCUAAAUCCAGUGACAAGUGUCCUUAUAAGAGACACGCAGAGGAGAGAGAUAAAGCCACGUGAAGACGGAGGCAGAGAUUAGAACGAUGCAGCCACAAGCCAAGGACACCUGGAGUCACCAGAAACCUAACAAGGCAAGGAAGGAGUCUCCUCUAGAGCCUUCAGAGGGCCUGUGGCCCGGACAACACCUUGAUUUUGGACUUCUGGUCUCCAGAACGGUGAAAGACUAAAUUUCUGUUGUUUUCAGCCACCAAGUCUGUAGUAAUUUGCUACAGCAGCUUCAGGAAACUAACACAACAUGUAAAAUAGUUUCAAAAUUGCUAACCGGACCCUUAGGAGAAACAAAUUUACCAACUAGAGCACAAUGUUUGUAUAUAGUUCUUUUUGUCUGCCCCACAGUGUCCAGUUAAAAUACUGUUUUUCUAAGCUACUUAGGUCAACUCCACUG
rnacentral:lncRNA from 1 species